GCCUCCUGCUGCUGUCUGUUUUCAUCGCUGUGUGAUGGGCUUUCCUCUCUGAAUCAUCAUGUAGUUGACCUUAAUGUACCUCCCUGCUUUGAUGGGAAAGAAUGUUGAAAGUCGAGGCGAUGGAUGGGUCCAAGAGAACUAAUGAUGUUUUUCCCUAAUGCAGAUGCUCGUCAGAAUACAGGAAUGUCUUUCCAGACACAGGGAUCGAGGGCAAGAGAAUCCAGAGGACGUGGUUUGGAUGAAGAAUCAAAAGCCUUUGGGCCUGGCAUGAUGAUACAGACCUGUCAUCCCAGCACGGGAGAGACAGGAGAUCACAAGUUGGAAAGCAGCCGGAGCUAUAUCCAGAAUUCAAGGCCAGCCUGAGCUACACAGGGAGUCACUAUCUCAAAACACAAGACAAAAAGGCUCUUAGACUUGUAAGCAUUCUGACACAAAGGCUUUCUUAACCCUCAUCACCAUCCAAAUGUAAACUCUGCUAUACUUGGGCACCUACAGAACUCACCUUAGGGUGAAGGGGA
rnacentral:lncRNA from 1 species